UCUAACAUGGGAUGUUGGUGUGGUUCAAUUAGAUUACAAUGUCCACGCAAGAUUGUGUACAGUUUGUAAUUUGAUUGAGCCGUGCCAAUAUCACAUGUAAAAAA
rnacentral:pre_miRNA from 1 species